GGCGGCCACCGCUAUUGGAAUUCGAUUAAGACAUGCGAGUCGAGAGUCGCAAGGACUCGGCGGACCGCUCAGUAACACGCGGAUAACAUGCCCUUGGGUGGGGGAUAACCUCGGGAAACUGAGGGUAAUACCCCAUAGGUCUAUUUUGCUGGAAUGCUAAUAGGCCGAAAACUCCGGUGCCUUAGGAUUGGUCUGCGGUCUAUCAGGCUGUAGUGGGUGUAAUGGACCCACUAGCCCGUGACGGAUAUGGGCCUUGAG
rnacentral:rRNA from 1 species